rnacentral:pre_miRNA from 1 species
AAGGUGAGGCGCUUGCUAUGAAGAGAGCUAUCCAUCGACAGUAUGGUAAUGAUAGACACUGUCAUGGAGUUGCUCUCUUUGUGGACGCCGCUCGAUACAACGUUUCAACGA